rnacentral:rRNA from 1 species
AGCACUGUAGAGAGUUUGAUCMUGGCUCAGGAUGAACGCUGGCGGCGUGCUUAACACAUGCAAGUCGAACGAUGAACCUCACUUGUGGGGGGAUUAGUGGCGAACGGGUGAGUAACACGUGAGUAACCUGCCCUUAACUCUGGGAUAAGCCUGGGAAACUGGGUCUAAUACCGGAUAUGACUCCUCAUCGCAUGGUGGGGGGUGGAAAGCUUUAUUGUGGUUUUGGAUGGACUCGCGGCCUAUCAGCUUGUUGGUGAGGUAAUGGCUCACCAAGGCGACGACGGGUAGCCGGCCUGAGAGGGUGACCGGCCACACUGGGACUGAGACACGGCCCAGACUCCUACGGGAGGCAGCAGUGGGGAAUAUUGCACAAUGGGCGCAAGCCUGAUGCAGCGACGCCGCGUGAGGGAUGACGGCCUUCGGGUUGUAAACCUCUUUCAGUAGGGAAGAAGCGAAAGUGACGGUACCUGCAGAAGAAGCGCCGGCUAACUACGUGCCAGCAGCCGCGGUAAUA